rnacentral:misc_RNA from 1 species
GAGAGAGAGAGAGAGAGAGACCAUGAAAGUCUUACAAUAACUGAACUUUGAUGACUUUGAUUCAUUUGUUGAGUGAUUCAAAAACUUCCCAUAACCCAACUGAGAAAACAUUUUUGCUCUCUCUCUCGCUAAAAAACCAUGUCCAUAUCAAUCUGUCAAGUCUAAGGAAGUUGCCUGGAUCGGUCUGGCCAUUUGUCUAAUCUGAUCAACAACUUUGAAGGACAAUGAUCGAGGCGUCUUCAUGUUCUUCAUCAUCAAAAAUGAAUGACGGAAGAUUAUAAACACAAAAAUAGGAGGAUUGGGAACAAAUUCUGCCUCAAAAGCAUUGAAAUGACAAUAAUAGAAACUGAAUAAUCUUGAGGACAAGGGGCAGCAGCGAUCAUGGAAGAAAUAGAAAAGAGCGGCACUGGAAGUGAUCAUGAUCAAGAACAAGCUGAAAAUACUUCCUUAGUUUCUUCUUCCCAAAAGGGUUCGUCCUUCGAUUUGAAUGAAGAAGCUAGCAGUGAUGAAGUCGAUGUUGGAAGUGCAGAGGUAGAUGAAAAGAGAACAGAAGGGAGUUCAUCAGCU